rnacentral:lncRNA from 1 species
GCGUCAAGGACAUGCCAUUUUUUUCAAGAGUUUUAAGGAAGACAUAAGUUUUUUUGGUCUAUGCCACUUCUGCAAUGAAUGUAAGAGAGUUGAAAAAACAGAUGUCAGCCAAUCUGCGAAGUUAUGUAUUUGCAAUGAGAGAAUACAAGAAAACAUAUGAUGCAAAAAGGAGCUUUCAGCAUGAAAACCAAAAAGGAGAGUGUACACUUAAAACAGUGAAGUUCUGCCUCAGCUAAAGCCCAGCUAGGACAAGACAACUGUACAGAUAGAGUUCUUUUGCUAUCAGUGGAGCAUACACUACCCAGUUUAUUGAUUUUCUAUUCAGCAGACCAAGUUCUUCUUUGAGCCUAAAGAAUUCAAAAUGUC